UCCUGGUUAGCUCAGUAGGUAGUGCGUUCCACAGGAAAUGGAGAGAUCCUUGGUUCGAUACCAUGACCAGGCG
rnacentral:tRNA from 1 species